UACGGAGGGUGCAAGCGUUAUCCGGAUUCACUGGGUUUAAAGGGUGCGUAGGAGGGCAGGUAAGUCAGUGGUGAAAUCCCCGAGCUUAACUUGGGAACUGCCGUUGAUACUAUCUGUCUUGAAUGUUGUGGAGGUGAGCGGAAUAUGUCAUGUAGCGGUGAAAUGCUUAGAUAUGACAUAGAACACCAAUUGCGAAGGCAGCUCGCUACACGAAUAUUGACUCUGAGGCACGAAAGCGUGGGGAUCAAACAGG
rnacentral:rRNA from 1 species